rnacentral:rRNA from 1 species
CUACGGGUGGCUGCAGUCGGGAAAACUUUACAAUGCACGCAAGUGUGAUAAGGGGAUUCUAAGUGCUCAAGCAUUGCUUGGGCUUUUCGUAAGAGUAAAGAUCUUACGGAAUAAGUGGUGGGCAAGACUGGUGCCAGCCGCCGCGGUAACACCAGCGCCGCAAGUGGCAACCGGUUUUAUUGGGUCUAAAGCAUCCGUAGCCGGCUGAAUAAAUUUUCUGUGAAAUCGACCAGCUUAACUGGUCGGCGUGCAGGAAAAACUGUUUAGCUUGGGACCAGGAGAGGUUAAAGGUAUUCUGUGGGGAGCGGUAAAAUGCUAUAAUCCAUAGAGGACCACCAAUGGCGAAGGCAUUUAACCAGAAUGGAUCUGACGGUGAGGGAUGAAAGCCAGGGGAGCGAUCCGGAUUAGAUACCCUCGUAGUC